rnacentral:lncRNA from 1 species
CCGCCGCAGCCCGGGCCUUGCGGGCCGGCGAGCAGGCGGGGACGCGUGUGUGCCCUGGCCGGCGACCUGCGCCGGGUGCCGGGAGUCUCCUGUCCUCGUAUCUUAGAUGGGUCAAAGCAUUAAAACGGGACAAACCUGUAUGGCAACGCAUCCCAGGUAUACGUGAAACCGGAAGCAGGAGCACUUCCGAAGUUCGUUGGACCAUCGCGGGGAAGCGCAGCUCCUCAAGGCUCCGUGGGUUGGUGGCAGCCUCGGGGGCCCUGCCCAUGAGCCGAGCGUGGUGGAUGCCGAUGCAUUAAGUGAUCUGGAGACACUCGGUCCUCGAGGUUCUUCCUCCAACUGAGUUAUUAUAUAGACUGGGACGUGCCAGGCCUUUCAAAAGUCAAUCAGCAUCGGCUUGUAAUUUCCUUCCUCAGACUUCUAAACCUACAAUCUUCCCACCCAUUUCUAAGCAUUUUGGAAUUUCUGUUCCCAAAUCUUGACUGAGGAAGCUAAAGGGAAGGAAAUUCAGAUCACCGUAGCUUAAGUUAGAAAAAAGAAUAGUUUUUUUUACUUAAAUGGUAAAUCAACAGCAAAUCACCUAAUAAAAAAUAUUUAUGAAUAUCUGCGGCUUAUUUUUGAAGUUUUAAAUUCUAUAUAUCAAUUACCCUGUUUUCAGUUAAAUUUGUUAAAGUUGAUUAAAACACUGAAAUCGAGUCAGUCAAUAAAAUCAAUAGUGCAAGUUUCUUCUAGUAAAAAAGAUCCUCUUUUGGUUUGACUAUGGCUCGUACUAAUUUGCUGCGCACCU